rnacentral:rRNA from 1 species
AGGACGAACGCUGGCGGCGUGCCUAAUACAUGCAAGUCGAGCGGACAGAUGGGAGCUUGCUCCCUGAUGUUAGCGGCGGACGGGUGAGUAACACGUGGGUAACCUGCCUGUAAGACUGGGAUAACUCCGGGAAACCGGGGCUAAUACCGGAUGCUUGUUUGAACCGCAUGGUUCAAACAUAAAAGGUGGCUUCGGCUACCACUUACAGAUGGACCCGCGGCGCAUUAGCUAGUUGGUGAGGUAAUGGCUCACCAAGGCAACGAUGCGUAGCCGACCUGAGAGGGUGAUCGGCCACACUGGGACUGAGACACGGCCCAGACUCCUACGGGAGGCAGCAGUAGGGAAUCUUCCGCAAUGGACGAAAGUCUGACGGAGCAACGCCGCGUGAGUGAUGAAGGUUUUCGGAUCGUAAAGCUCUGUUGUUAGGGAAGAACAAGUACCGUUCGAAUAGGGCGGUACCUUGACGGUACCUAACCAGAAAGCCACGGCUAACUACGUGCCAGCAGCCGCGGUAAUACGUAGGUGGCAAGCGUUGUCCGGAAUUAUUGGGCGUAAAGGGCUCGCAGGCGGUUUCUUAAGUCUGAUGUGAAAGCCCCCGGCUCAACCGGGGAGGGUCAUUGGAAACUGGGGAACUUGAGUGCAGAAGAGGAGAGUGGAAUUCCACGUGUAGCGGUGAAAUGCGUAGAGAUGUGGAGGAACACCAGUGGCGAAGGCGACUCUCUGGUCUGUAACUGACG